CCUACGGGUGGCUGCAGUAGGGAAUAUUGGGCAAUGGAGGCAACUCUGACCCAGCCAUGCCGCGUGCAGGAUGACGGCCCUCUGGGUUGUAAACUGCUUUUAUACGGGAAGAAAAAAUACUACGUGUAGUAUACUGACGGUACCGUAAGAAUAAGGAUCGGCUAACUCCGUGCCAGCAGCCGCGGUAAUACGGAGGAUCCAAGCGUUGUCCGGAUUUAUUGGGUUUAAAGGGUGCGUAGGCGGAUCUUUAAGUCAGUGGUGAAAGCCUGCAGCUU
rnacentral:rRNA from 1 species